AGCACCCAACAACAUAGAGAUACUCAAGCAAAGACCUCUCUGGUUAAUCACAAUCUUUAAUUUUUAGGAUCUUAUUAAACAUAAGAAAUGUUGAAGACACAUAAAAUUUAAACCACAAUCAUUCAGACAUUUCAUCAAACAUCUUAUGAUCAUUAACAUAAAAAUGACAAAAUGUAAAAAUACCUUGGGAUAGCAUUUGCCACAAUUGGAGCAGCGAAUAAAAUUGACGUGGCCACAACCAUGCUUGAAGGGAAAAUCACAGAACAAAAUCGUGAAGGUGACACAACAUUCGUAAAAAAACAUAAAGAUCUGAAAUUUUUGAUCUGAAAACUUUCAAAUCAAGGGAGUUAUGGAGUUUUACGAAACAUAAAAAGGUGAGGGCAUGAAGAAAAGUCCAGUUUGAAUGUAGAAAUAAAAAUGCAUACUUUUUGUGAGAGAGAGUGAAAACGAAAAAAUCCAUAAGGAGUGGAAGACAUUUUGUAAUAAAUAUUUCAGGUGAUAGAGUCAUACCUCUCAUGCCUUGCAAAAAAAUUAGUUGUUUGAGCACAAUUAUUUUUUUGAAGAAAGAUGAGUGAGAUGGCUUUGAUUUGUUUGAGAUGAAGAAGAGAGAGAAGUGAAGAUGAGUUUCAGCAACAACGUAG
rnacentral:lncRNA from 1 species